rnacentral:rRNA from 1 species
UACGGAGGGGGCUAGCGUUGUUCGGAAUUACUGGGCGUAAAGCGUACGUAGGCGGCUUUGUAAGUUAGAGGUGAAAGGCCUGGAGCUCAACUCCAGAACUGCCUUUAAGACUGCAUCGCUUGAAUCCAGGAGAGGUGAGUGGAAUUCCGAGUGUAGAGGUGAAAUUCGUAGAUAUUCGGAAGAACACCAGUGGCGAAGGCGGCUCACUGGACUGUAUUGACGCUGAGGUACGAAAGCGUGGGGAGCAAACAGG